rnacentral:pre_miRNA from 1 species
AAUAGAUGCCGUCGCCCCGGCGGAGGCCGGGGCCGCCAGAGGCUCCUGUCUCAACAUCACCGCAAACAACCUGACGGCCCCGGCCUCCGCCGGGGCGACGCGAGCGAUAUAA